GAGCAGAUGCUCACGCACCUGGGGAGACGUGCAGGUCAGGGCGGGCCAAAGGAGCCAGCGGCUGCCCCAGGGGCUCAACUCAAGUGGCAGAGAAGAGUUCCUGUCACGGGCACACUUGGGCCUGCUGGUGACAAAAGGAAUCGGGAUUUCACUAAACCACUUUUAGCUGCAUUAGGAUGGAUUUCUAGUCCUAAGGUGAGUAAAAGAAAACUCUGUAAUUUAAGUUUAAGAAAGAGUAAAGGGCCAGGCGCAGUGGCUCAC